CAAACAUAGGAGGGACAGAGCCAGAAGCUGGGCUCAGCUCAGGGUUGAGUAAGGCUGUGUUUAGACAGGCAGCUCAAUUCUAUCACUAAUUGGUAUUUUUACCAAUCAGAUCAGCUUUGAAAAAUAUUUAAUGUGAUUCGUCAAAAGCCCAACUAGCAGAAAAAUAUUAUAAUUGGGCGGCCUGUGUAAGCAAGCCUUAGAGGGGCAAGGCUGAACUGGAUUGAAUUGGAAUAGAGUGGCUGGACUGAGAUGGGCUGGGAUGGACUGAGAUGGGCUGGGAUGGACUGGGAUGGGCUGGGAUGGACUGAGAUGGGCUGGGAUGGACCAAGAUGGGCUGGGAUGGACCGAGAUGGGCUGGGACGGACUGAGAUGGGCUGGGAUGGACUGAGAUGGGCUUGGAUGAGCUGGCAUGGACUUGUAUGGGCUGGGAUGGACUGAGAUGGACUGAGAUGGACUGAGAUGGGCUGGGAUGAGCUGGCAUGGACUUGAAUGGGCUGGGAUGGACUGAGAUGGGCUGAGAUGGACUGAGAUGGACUGAGAUGGGCUGGGAUGAGCUGGCAUGGACUUGUAUGGGCUGAGAUGGACUGAGAUGGGCUGGGAUGAGCUGGCAUGGACUUGUAUGGGCUGGGAUGGACUGAGAUGGACUGAGAUGGACUGAGAUGGGCUGGGAUGAGCUGGCAUGGACUUGAAUGGGCUGGGAUGGACUGAGAUGGGCUGAGAUGGACUGGGAUGGGCUGGGAUGGACUGAGAUGGGCUGGGAUGGACCGAGAUGGGCUGGGAUGGACCGAGAUGGGCUGGGACGGACCGAGAUGGGCUGGGAUGGACUGAGAUGGGCUUGGAUGAGCUGGCAUGGACUUGUAUGGGCUGGGAUGGACUGAGAUGGACUGAGAUGGACUGAGAUGGGCUGGGAUGAGCUGGCAUGGACUUGAAUGGGCUGGGAUGGACUGAGAUGGGCUGAGAUGGGCUGGGAUGGGCUGGGAUGGACUGAGAUGGGCUGGGAUGGACUGAGAUGGACUGGGAUGGACCGAGAUGGGCUGGGACGGACUGAGAUGGGCUGGGACGGACUGAGAUGGGCUUGGAUGGACUGAGAUGGGCUUGGAUGAGCUGGCAUGGACUUGUAUGGGCUGGGAUGGACUGAGAUGGACUGAGAUGGGCUGGGAUGAGCUGGCAUGGACUUGAAUGGGCUGGGAUGGACUGAGAUGGGCUGAGAUGGACUGAGAUGGACUGAGAUGGGCUGGGAUGAGCUGGCAUGGACUUGAAUGGGCUGGGAUGGACUGAGAUGGACUGGGAUGGACUGAGAUGGGCUGGGAUGGACUGAGAUGGGCUGGGAUGGACUGAGAUGGGCUGGGAUGAGCUGGCAUGGACUUGUAUCGGUUGGGAUGGACUGAGAUGGACUGAGAUGGACUGAGAUGGGCUGGGAUGAGCUGGCAUGGACUUGUAUGGGCUGGGAUGGACUGAGAUGGGCUGGGAUGGACUGAGAUGGGCUGGGAUGGACUGGACUAAUAUUUUCUCUUGAAUUCCACAUAUAUCUUCUAAUUGAGAUCCCAUCUAGGAGUUUAGGGGGAUUUCCCAUUGGCAGAUUUCAUCUGGCUCUCCCAGCCCCAUGCCCCUGUCCCAGCCCCCUGCCCCAGCCUUAGCACCUG
rnacentral:lncRNA from 1 species